rnacentral:snRNA from 1 species
UAGGUUAAGUCCCCUUGAC